rnacentral:piRNA from 1 species
AUGUGUUAUAAUUCUAUGCCUGUUAAA